UUGUAGUCAUAAAGCAUCUUUCCUUCGUGAGGAAAAAGGGGAGAAGAGGUGGUGGUGGUGGGGAGGUGACCAGGAAAGAAAAUGUAAAGAGAGCUGAAACAGAGAAAGAGGACUGGAAAGGCACCGUGUCAACAGCAUGUCUGCCAAUUUUCUCAGCACAUGCCUUGGGUACUUUCCGGGUGUUAGCAGGAGAGACCACAGAGACCUAGGAAUUCUAGCACUGAAAGACAGUGCAGGACCACUAGUGGUGUCUGUCUUAUAUCCAUAGCCUCAACUUAAUCCACGUGACCUACGGGUGCUUUGAUAAUUCCUACCUGUGGGAGGGGAAUUGCAGGCUCAUUUAAUCCCACAGCGAGAGGCACAUAACUGGGUCUUCAUGGUGGCCUUGCCUUCCCUCCUAAAACAACCUCUGCUCAGUAUCUUCCAUGUGCCAGUCACUGAGCAGACUCUGGGCUUCAGAGGCACAUGAGGAGCAGGAUGCUUGUUGGGCAUUUGAGUGUUGCAUUCCGCAAGUUUCACUGCAACACGUUGCUUUUCUUGCACCACACCCUUCGCAGGGGUUGUCACGACGUGUUAGCCUGCAAGGAUGGCACUGUCUUGGCUGAGAAGCGAGUGAGCUUAGAGGAGAGUUGAUGUCCCUAAUGGGUGACCCAGAUUCUGGUCCUGGAUGGCCCAGCACUUCCAAGUCGGGAAUCCUAGCCAAUGAAACUCCUGUUGUUCCUCCUCUUCCUGAAGAUUCCUCCAAAGCUCACCUCCCCUCUGGCUCCCACUGCCCCCAGUGACUGAGGCUCUUGCCUCCCUACAGCCACCGCUCCGACUCAUUGUCAUCCCAAUCCAGCUGCCACCUUAGACCCUCUCAGUACACAGCCAAAAGGAUGAUCCUAAAAUUACUGGAGGAAAGAGCCCACUACACCCGGAAAUCUGCUCACAGUGACUCCUCACAUAGUCCUGUCUGUACAGGCGGGUGGUCAAGGCAGUCUUCUGCAGACUGGCCUAGCUCGGAGGGGAAGAUGAGG